rnacentral:rRNA from 1 species
UACGUAGGGGGCUAGCGUUGUCCGGAAUCAUUGGGCGUAAAGCGCGUGUAGGCGGCCCGGUAAGUCCGCUGUGAAAGUCGGGGGCUCAACCCUCGGAUGCCGGUGGAUACUGGCGGGCUUGAAUCCGGGAGAGGGAUGUGGAAUUCCAGGUGUAGCGGUGAAAUGCGUAGAUAUCUGGAGGAACACCGGUGGCGAAGGCGGCAUCCUGGACCGGUAUUGACGCUGAGGCGCGAAAGCUAGGGGAGCAAACGGG